GGGGAAGUUCAGGAUUUUUUUUUCUUCUGGAGAUCUCUGUCUACCUGAGCAUGUUACAGGCCUUACAAAGACAGAAAACUGAAAAUCUAUGCUGCUUUGAAAGCAUAAAAGAAAGGAUGAGAAGUUAUACGCUGAACUGAGCAAAGGAGAGGUAAGCACAUUGAGCUCAGGACUAAGAAGAAGGAGCUUUGAUGAGGGAGUUCCUUCAAAAGAAACAUCAUCACAUGGAGAUGUGAGGUCUAACAAAGAAUUUGGGCACUUAAUAUCACAGUUUGGAUGGAGUUGGGAAUUUAUUGGCUCGGGUACUGACAGUAGCAGCACAGAACUCCGGACAAGAUUUACUACUUCCCAGAUCUUCUGAGGCUCUGUUGUACUUCUCAUCUGCGAAUCACAAACUCUUAAUUCUUACAGGGAAAAUGAAGUACUGUAUAUUUAAAAAUUUAAAAACUUGAAAUCAAUAAAACCGAUUAUUUGGUAUAAUAUUGAUUUUCACCACUCCCAUUACACAUGGUGGAGUGUGAUAGAGAGAUGUCAGUGUAUAUUACUGCUUUUUUAAAUAUCUGACACAUUCACAUUUAGAUUAAAUUAAUAGAAUUACGUUUAGUUAUAGCCAUUCCUGAAUGUGUAUAAAAUAAGUCAGUGGUCUGAGGCCAGUUGUCCACUCUAUAAUGUCAUCAUUUUCCUAUGACACCAGCUGGCAGCAGGGCUGACAGUCAUAGUAUGCAAACCAGCAAUUAGGUAGGCAUGGCAGGUGAACAGCAUCUCAACACUACUCAUGCUAGCUCUAUAAUUAUACUGAAUCAUGUUGCUGUGGGUGGUUUGGGGAGAUUUACAUUCCUCUCUGCCAAUGCUGAAACUACUCUGUUUUGUAAAAUAAUGUAGAUACAGGAAAAGGGG